AAAAAAGUCAAGGCUCGAUAGGACCGGGCAAAAUUGGCCUUCUUUUAGUCUUUGCUUCAUUCUCGUUAUAUGACAACGAGCAAAGAGGGGCAGCUGUAGUAGCCCAAUUUUCCCAGGCCCAAUUAAAUAAAUAAGCACCAAAAAUAAAAACCAAAAUAAUAAAACAGUCCAGUUUCUUUUUACAAACCCAAACUUAAAGCCCAAAUUCACUACCCAAUUACAACGGCCCAAAUGCCUAAACCCUAGCCCACUAGUUCAAAACAAAGCAAAAAAAAAAAAACCUAGCCUACAAGCUUCCAGCACCGCAGCAACCAGGGUCUUCCCUCGCGCGUGCUGUGCUUCCGUUCCCAUGUGCUGCCCCCAGCUGGCCUUGUACCUGCACAAAAAAAAUGGCAAUAAAUAGCAUAGGCAGGGAACAACAGCAAGAAAAUCAGAAAAAGCGCAAAUCAAAGGCAACAAGCAAAUAACG
rnacentral:lncRNA from 1 species